UACCAGACUCCUACGGGAGGCAGCAGUGGGGGAUAUUGCACAAUGGGGGAAACCCUGAUGCAGCGACGCCGCGUGGGUGAAGAAGCGCCUCGGCGCGUAAAGCCCUGUCAGCAGGGAAGAAAAUGACGGUACCUGAAGAAGAAGCCCCGGCUAACUACGUGCCAGCAGCCGCGGUAAUACGUAGGGGGCAAGCGUUAUCCGGAUUUACUGGGUGUAAAGGGGGCGCAGACGGCGAUGCAAGCCAGGAGUGAAAGGCCGGGGCCCAACCCCGGGACUGCUCUUGGAACUGCGUGGCUGGAGUGCAGGAGGGGCAGGCGGAAUUCCUGGUGUAGCGGUGAAAUGCGUAGAUAUCAGGAGGAACACCGGUGGCGAAGGCGGCCUGCUGGACUGCAACUGACGUUGAGGCCCGAAAGCGUGGGGAGCAAACAGGAUUAGAUACCCCCGUACA
rnacentral:rRNA from 1 species